AUUGAACGCUGGCGGCAGGCCUAACACAUGCAAGUCGGGCGAGCCGCAGACGGGUGAGUAAUGCUUGGGACUCUAGCUUAUGGAGGGGGAUAACUACGGGAAACUGUAGCUAAUACCGCGUACCAUAGGAUGAGCCCAAGUGGGAUUCGGUAGGUGGUGAGGUAAAGGCACACCAAGCCGACGAUCUCUAGCUGGUCUGAGAGGAUGACCAGCCACACGGGGACUGAGACACGGCCCAGACUCCUACGGGAGGCAGCAGUGGGGAAUAUUGCGCAAUGGGGGCAACCCUGACGCAGCCAUGCCGCGUGAAUGAAGAAGGCCUUAGGGUUGUAAAGUACUUUCAGUGGGGAGGCGUUACCCGCAGAAGAAGCACCGGCUAACUCCGUGCCAGCAGCCGCGGUAAUAC
rnacentral:rRNA from 1 species